GCCCUGGGGUCGGUCCCCAGCUUCGAAAAAAAAAAAAAAAAAGAAAAAGAAAAAAAAAAGCCUAAUACUAAGUGGAAUAAAGAGAGUGUUGACCUCAGAGCAAGACCCCACCCAGCUCAGCUUGUGAAAAGGAAUUAAAGGAAAACUUAGUGUCAGGCAUGGUGGUGCACACCUUUAUCCCAGCACUCUGAAGACAGAGGCUGUCAGAUCUCUAAGAUUGGGGUCAGCCUAGGCAGCCAUGCUUAAGCAGUGAAGGAAACCAUCAAAAGCAGAAACAGAAAGUCAAUGAAAUUGUAAUGGAAUGAGGAGGCCAUGUUCCAGUCUCAGCCAGCACCAAAAUUUGGCAGCUUCAUCAGCAUGCUUCCAGCUUUAGAGUCAAGGGUCAAAGAAAGGGAUUGUGGAAUCCCCAUCUAUGGGUAAGGAAAGUUGUUGAGGCCAGACAUAGGUGAGGGAUGUCCCUACAUGGUUGCCUAUACAGAGUGAGAUGCAGUGAAAAGUAAAGCCUAGAUUGUCUUGGAGAUGUCAGAACCAUGGGAUUCCUGCAGAGAAAAGCUGCUUAACAGGGAACGAGAACAGCCCAAAGUACGAGUGUGUUGCAGUUAACAAAGCUGAAAUGAUUUGGAGAUCUGAAGUGAAUCUUCACAUCAGAAAUGGAGUUGCAGAAUUUGGAGUUUACCUUGCUGGCUUUUUUGGGGGAUGAUGAGGGGGGUCUUACCUUUUUCGAAGGGUUCAGGGAGUGGAAGGUAGUGGUUUGAAUCAAAAUGCCCCCCCAAUAGGCUCAUGGCAAGUGACACAGUUAGGAGGUAUGACCUUGUUGGGCUAAGUGUGGCCUUGUGAGAGGAAGUAUGCCACCUGGGAGCUUGAGGUUUAAAAUGCUCAAGCAAUACCAAUUGUCACUCUCUCUGCUGCUUACAGAUCCAGACGAAGAACUUGUAGUUCUUCUCCAGCACCAAGUCAACCCACAGGCUGCCAUUCUUCCCAUCAUGAUGAUAAUGGACUAAACUUCUGAACCUGUUCAACAACGACCUGUCCAUUUGAUGUACAGAAUCAGGCAGCUCUGCUCUAUUUUAAACCACUCAGUCUCCCUGCAACCAUGUACUUGUCCUGGGGCCAUAAAUAAAUCGCCUCACUUCUUGGAAAGACCGUAUUUUGGGUGAAUCUGCUCUUCCUUUAGAAAACGCAGUUCUGGACCCUUCAUUGCUGGUUGAAUUGUGUACAAGACACAGAAGCAAAUUCAUGUAAAAAAAACCCAUUGAAAGAAAACAAGAUCAUCUGCCAUCAGCCAUGUGCCUAGCCAGCUUGGAAGAGGAUCCUCCUGCUACCUUUGAUUUAACGGUAGCCCUGUUGGACUUUUGAUUGAACUUCAUAAGAAACCAAAUGCUGGUUAAUUUUUGUCAAGAUGACACAAAUUUGAGUCACUUGAAGGGAUGGAACUUCAAUUGAAGAAAGAGUAUUGUUUUGAUGUGUAUAAGCUUGUCUUUGUUGCAUUUUCUUGACUUUCGAUUGAUGCGAGAGUGUCCAGUCCACUAUGGAUGGGCUACUCCAGAACAGGUGGUCCUGUGGGAUAUAAGAAAAGGAACUGGAAGUAGCAAGCCAGCAAGCUACCUUAUUCAUAGUUCCUGUUUCUGUGCCUGCUUGAAUUCCUGCCUUAGAAUCCCUUAGUGAUGGAUUGUAAUCUAAGAGUUUUAAGAUGAAAUUAAAACCCUUUUCUACCUAGAUUGUUUUUAGUCACGAUGUUUGAUCACAAUUUCAGAUUCUUAGCAGAAUUAAAAAUUGGUACCAGAAGACCAGAAGUGCGCUGUCAUGAUUUGAAUGAGAAAUAUCUCAUAUAGGGUUAGACCAUUGAACUCUUGAUCCCGAGUUGGUGGUGGUAUUUGAAGGGGUUUAGGAAUUCUGGCUUUAUAGUAAGUAAGUCACUGGCAUUACUAAACUUCUAGAAUGCUCUCUCUGCAUUGUCUUUUCCAUUACCAUUGAAGAUGUGAGCUCCCAGAUGUUGUUCCAUUGUUCCAGCCACCAUGUGUGCCAGCCUGCUAGCAUGCCCACAAUUAUGAACUCCUACUCCUUGAAUGAGUUGCUUGAAGCCCACAUAAAAUUUUUCUUUUAUACAUUUCAUAGGUCAAGUUGGUUUCUCACAGCCACAGAAAAGUAACGAAUAACAAACCCCAGACAGAAAAUCUAAUUAAGCCAGGCCUAUGAUUAUUUUUAUUUUAAUUUGUUCUUCAGGAAAUUCAUGCAUGAUUGUUAUAACAUACCUAUUCCUAAAUCCCAAAGCCCAACAUGCUUCUCUUGAUUCUCCAACUCCUUUAUCCCAAAUCCCUGUAUGUUUCUUUUUCAUAUAGAUACCAUAUAUUUUCUAGGAUUAUGUGUAAAUGGAGACUCUCAACACUUACUCAUUUUGUUUAGCGCUACUCACUCAGCAUAACUACCUUAACAUCCAUUUGCCAAGGUGAAUGUUUAAUGGUUUAUUCCAUUUACUUAACCGUUUAUCUGUUGGUUGUCAUUUGUUGUUUAUUUUAUGUUUGUGCUAUUACAAAUGCAGCUUUAUGAUUAUGCAUGAA